CCUACGGGAGGCUGCAGUGGGGAAUUUUGGACAAUGGGCGCAAGCCUGAUCCAGCAAUGCCGCGUGUGUGAAGAAGGCCUUCGGGUUGUAAAGCACUUUUGGCGGGAGCGAAACGGCGUUUGCUAAUACCAGACGCUAAUGACGGUACCCGCAGAAUAAGCACCGGCUAACUACGUGCCAGCAGCCGCGGUAAGACGUAGGGUGCGAGCGUUAAUCGGAAUUACUGGGCGUAAAGCGUGCGCAGGCGGCUUUGUAAGACAGGUGUGAAAUCCCCGGGCUUAACCUGGGAACUGCACUUGUGACUGCAAGGCUAGAGUGUGUCAGAGGGAGGUGGAAUUCCGCGUGUAGCAGUGAAAUGCGUAGAUAUGCGGAGGAACACCGAUGGCGAAGGCAGCCUCCUGGGAUAACACUGACGCUCAUGCACGAAAGCGUGGGGAGCAAACAGGAUUAGAUACCCUGGUAGUC
rnacentral:rRNA from 1 species